rnacentral:rRNA from 1 species
GACGAACGCUGGCGGCGUGCUUAACACAUGCAAGUCGAGCGGUAAGGCCCUUUCGGGGGUACACGAGCGGCGAACGGGUGAGUAACACGUGGAUGACCUGCCCUUAGCUCUGGGAUAAGCCUGGGAAACUGGGUCUAAUACCGGAUAUGACUCCAUGACGCAUGUUGUGGGGUGGAAAGCCUUGUGCGGCUAGGGAUGGGCCCGCGGCCUAUCAGCUUGUUGGUGGGGUGAUGGCCUACCAAGGCGACGACGGGUAGCCGGCCUGAGAGGGCGACCGGCCACACUGGGACUGAGACACGGCCCAGACUCCUACGGGAGGCAGCAGUGGGGAAUCUUGCGCAAUGGGCGAAAGCCUGACGCAGCGACGCCGCGUGGGGAUGACGGCCU